rnacentral:rRNA from 1 species
UACGGGGGGAGCAAGCGUUGUUCGGAUUUACUGGGCGUAAAGGGCGCGUAGGCGGUCAGCACAAGUCAGUUGUGAAAUCUCCGGGCUUAACUCGGAACGGUCAACUGAUACUGUGCGACUAGAGUGCAGAAGGGGCAACUGGAAUUCUCGGUGUAGCGGUGAAAUGCGUAGAUAUCAGGAAGAACACCCGUGGCGAAGGCGGCUCUCUGGGACGGUACUGACGCUGAGACGCGAAAGCGUGGGGAGCGAACAGG